GACGAACGCUGGCGGCGUGCUUAACACAUGCAAGUCGAACGGAAAGGCCCUGCUUUUGUGGGGUGCUCGAGUGGCGAACGGGUGAGUAACACGUGAGUAACCUGCCCUUGACUUUGGGAUAACUUCAGGAAACUGGGGCUAAUACCGGAUAGGAGCUCCUGCUGCAUGGUGGGGGUUGGAAAGUUUCGGCGGUUGGGGAUGGACUCGCGGCUUAUCAGCUUGUUGGUGGGGUAGUGGCUUACCAAGGCUUUGACGGGUAGCCGGCCUGAGAGGGUGACCGGCCACGGGGGGACUGAGACACGCCCCGGACCAGCGGGGGGGGCAGGGGGGGGGAUUGUGGAACGGGGGGCGGCGGUCAGAAGCGGCCCCGCGGGGGGGGGGAGGGCGGCCGGGGGGUUGAACCCCGUUUCCCCGGUUAACGAGGGGGGGGGGGGGGUAGUGGAAAAAAAACCACCGUCAAACCAC
rnacentral:rRNA from 1 species